rnacentral:SRP_RNA from 1 species
GUUCCGCCUAGGCCGGGGGGCUCGGCGUCCCCUGUCACCCGAGAUACGUCGACACGCGGGGGCUGAAAGCGCCCGGGAAGGCGUGCACGGGCCGGCGGCAAGCCGGGGUGCGACGAUGAGACCUCGUCCGUUGGGAUCGAAGGUGGCGGCGGGCGCACCCGGAGGGGUGUCCCUGUCGUCUUCACCACGGGAACCGGGCCAGGCACGGAAGUGAGCAGCCCCACCGUGGACUUACGAUGCUCGGCGGGUCGCGGGGUCGAGAAGCGCCCCGGGGACUUGCCGCGGGUACCACACGUCAACCCGGGAUGGCGGGAC